rnacentral:lncRNA from 1 species
UUUAAGAUACUCAUAAGCCAUGUUGAAUAUUUAAAUGAAAAGAAUAUUUAUGUUAUGAAAUGCAUAUUGAGAUGAAAUAUUUUAAUUGUCUCUUUUUACUCGACUUUAGAUAUUUCGGAUGAUGUUUGUUUACUCACUGAGAUUAUAAAAUCUCACCACUCUCCUUUCCACCAAUUUCAAGUUCAGAUUAGGCUGUAGAUAGCUGAGUUCAUCGAGGACUACCCUUGGAUUUGCAUUCCUUCAAACUGUAGGUUCACAGUCCUCUUUACUUUUGGUUAUUCGGGGGCCCACUAGUCAUUGUAAAUUAAAUUAAAUACUCUGGUUUACUGUAUUACAGUAUGUAUGAAUUCACUUUGCUUUUA